CAGCUAAACUCAGUUCUUCACGCUGGC
rnacentral:piRNA from 1 species